rnacentral:rRNA from 1 species
AGAAUCAACGCUGGCGGCGUGCCUCAGACAUGCAAGUCGAACGCGAAAGUCCCCUUCGGGGGACAAGUAGAGUGGCGCACGGGUGAGUAACACGUAGGUAAUCUACCUUUGGAUGGGGAAUAACAACCGGAAACGGUUGCUAAUACCGCAUAAUGCAGCGGCACCUAAUGGUGACAGUUGUUAAAGCGGGGGAUCGAAAGACCUCGCGUCUGAAGAGGAGCCUGCGGCGGAUUAGCUAGUUGGUAAGGUAACGGCUUACCAAGGCGACGAUCCGUA